rnacentral:ribozyme from 1 species
UGCCCAGCAACUCCUAUCUCUACCUCCUCGCGGUACUGGCUGGGGUACGAGUAAACUGUGCACUGUGGCCCUUCGAACAUUUAGGGGAAAUG